rnacentral:lncRNA from 1 species
CCACUUCAACUACAACAGCAAGGGCGAAAUAGCCCCGUCUAUCAUGACUUGCUCCGCUAUUUUCGGAAUGGGGGAGACUAGGUGAGGGGUGAACCUUUUUGUUGUCUUCGUCCAUCUUUUUUUCUCCCAUGCUUUCCGUUGGUCAACAACCAACCAAAGUGCUUUUCGGAAUGGGGGAGACUAGGUGAGGGGUGAACCUUUUUGUUGUCUUCGUCCAUCUUUUUUUC